rnacentral:RNase_P_RNA from 1 species
GAAGAAGGACGGGUGGUCGCCGGUCACCCCGGCUCGUUCCGGGUGUGACGGGAGGAAAGUCCGGGCUCCGCAGGGCGGGAUGGUUCCUAACGGGAACCGGGGGUAACCCCAGGGAAAGUGCCACAGAGAGCAGACCGCUUCUCCUUCGCUAAAGCUUCGUCGAACAGGCGCUCCUUCGUGAGGGUUUGUCCGCCGGAGCGCCCUUUGUGGUGCGGAGGCGGAGUAAGGGUGAAAGGGUGAGGUAAGAGCUCACCAGGUCCGGCGGUGACGUCGGAUGCUAGGUAAACCCCAUCCGGAGCAAGGCCGAAUAGGGAAGCGUUUGAGGACGGCCCGUCCGAAGCUUCCGGGUUGGCUGCUUGAGGUCGUCGGCAACGGCGACCCUAGAUGAAUGACCAUCACCUCUGUUCGGGUAACCGGGCCGAGGGACAGAACCCGGCUUACGGCCUUCUUCAACC